UGGAAAGGAAGAAAGGAACAAAGAGGAGUGGUGAAAAAGGACAAAAGAAGAAGGGAAUGAAGAGAAGAAGGUAAGUGAAGUGCACGCUUCUCUCUUCAUUCCACUUCUUUCUUUUGCUCUUUUUCCUCUUUGUUGCUGUUGUGUUUUAACGAAUGAAAAGGAAUCACGCUUCCCUCACUCCGUUCAGUCCAUUGUAAAUAAACCAAAGACAAAUGAAAAGGAUGAACGAAGUGUAAU
rnacentral:ribozyme from 1 species